UCAGCUUUGGGCAGCUGACAGGGCUGGAGCCCACAAGUGCCUGCAUUUAUUCACAUGGAUUUUAGAAACAAAAAAGGCAUUAAAUUUGCCUUGAAUGCCUUGGCUUGCAAUGCUUCUGACAUACAGAUGUUCUCAGUUGUCUGCAAUUCACUUCCAUGGAGAAUACAGUUGUAGCAAAAUAAUUUUAUAUGACAGCCCUAAGGGAACACAAGUGAUAGAGCAGCUUUUAUAACAUACUAAAGCUUCCAUAAAACUAAUUAUAUAUGUUAUCAAAAUGAUUCAUGCUAGCCAGAGUGAAUCCUACUCAUUACAAAUGAGAGUUGAAGUGACAGUUCAUUGUCUCUUAACAUCUGCACAAAUAUAUUGCCUUUUCUCUCCGUGCUGACACAGGGAGGUUGGGGAAGGAAUUCCCCAAGGACUGGAGGUGCCAUUGCAAGAAAGAGGCAGUGCCAUUGGGGUCUGUAACCUCAGCUGAUUGUGACAAGGUAAGUUCUGAUCAUACAUGAUUCCUUACCAUCAUAGCAAAUUUUCUUCUUAUCUCCUGUAAAUUUAAUUUGCUGUCUUGCCCUGAAGCCUGCCCAGCAAAUGUGACCCUCAUGCAUGGAGCAGUGCCCUGUAGCUGUAGGUAUUGCUCUCACUGAAACUAUUUAACAUUGAAGGUCUUUUGCAAAACAGUGCCGAAUUGCUGGCGGUGCUUUCCCUAAGUAGGGAUUUAGAUAACUUGUUCUACUUAAUCAAAUUAGCUCUCUGUGAUUUAAUCUGGUGUUUAAGCCAAAUUCCCAAGACACAGUUGUUUUAAUAGUCUGUUCAGUUUGUAAUCUCUGUUUUCCAAGAAAACUAGCUUUUAUUUUUUUUUUGUUUGUUUUUCUGACAAUCUCAAAUGUACAUGAAAAACUGAUGUAGGCUGGCUGAGUACAGGGGAAUAGCUAAUUUGACAUUCAGUUUCUUCCCUUGUGAGCUAUCCCCUUUUCCAUGCCUUUCCCUUGGUCAGUCACAAGUGUCUGUCAGCUGGUCUGGCACCUGUGCCUCUCUGUCUAUAGCCUGAUUCAUGUUUACUUAGUUACGUUACAUUACUUACUGUGUCUCUAGCUUUAUCUGCUUUAUUUGGAAAAAAGAAGAAAAAAAAGAAAAAAAAAAAAAAAGGACUUUUUCGAAUUAAAGUGGGUCAGUAAAAGCUGCAAACCCCCCCUUUUUAGAACUCAUUCUGUCUGUCAGGAGCCUUUGUGCCAGCUGACAACACUUCCGAUUCCAGUCACCACACCCCACAGAAAAGGUCACUCUAGGGCAACCUCUUCAGAAGUGCAGGACUUGCUGAAGCAAACGGGACCCUUGAGCUUGGCUCUUCCUUUUCUAUUUAACCCUUAAACCAUCUGGGGCUUAAGGCUGGAGAAGAGAGGCUGUGCACCUCUUAUCAACGUCAGGACUGGGGAAGGUAACCCUCAGCUCACACUGUGCUCACCCAAAGGCCCCUCUGGUGCUCCAGCUGUAAGUAGAAGAUCCAUCAGUGCUCUCAGGCAGCUAAAGGACAUGUGUGUGAAUGCUGCAUUAGCUCUGGACCUCUGGAACAGUGUUUAAGAGCCAAAGUCAGCAUGGGGCUGCUGUGAUUGUUGAGAGGCUUUGUUAAAAGUGAGCUCCUGGAUAGUUUAUUUAUCAAGACCUGUAAAUCACAGUAUGAACAUGGAAAUAGGAGAACUAGGAAGUUUGAGCUGGUGGUUUGGCUGACAUCCUAGAACUCUGUUUUAUUUCCCUAUGAAUGUUGGGGAAAAUGAUGGGGUAGAUGAAAAGCUUUAGUUUUCUGCAUAUUGGAGUAAAUUCCUUGUUAUGCCAGAUCAUCAAAGCCAGUUUUGGUUCUUUCCAUUUGUACUGCUGCUGCUCCUUACCAACCUCCACUGACCUGAAAUCAAACCUCAGUAAAUCCUCCAGAUAAAUCUACCUUGUUUAUAAUGACUUAGCCUAGAGAGAAAUUCCAUCUGGACUCAGCCCUGCAAAGCUGGUGCUGGGAGAGACAAAUUCUGUCUCUGCAGCCAACUCCUCCCACCUUUUAUUUGCCUUUUUCCUACUACUAUACCAUAAAUACUACAGCCUCCUGGACACUGCUAUUUGUACCAAAAAAUAAUACAAACAGAACACUAACAGAAAGGCAGACAAGUGUCUGGCAGGGGUGAUCUGUCUGUAACUUCUCUCUUCAUUAUUACUGCUUUAAGCAAGUUAAAUGUGAAUAAACUGGCUCGAAGUGGAAGGAAGCACUGGCUUCAGUAUGACCACUGUUUAGAGAAGAGUAGGUGUUAAUAUGCCCAGAGGUCUUCUGGGGCUUGUGACAUCUCUUGGCAGGGGCCGUGGCAGCCAAACUGGUAUUUUCUUACUCUUCAGGAGCGCUGGGGUGUUUGCCAGCAGCCUCCACAUCUCACUCCACUUUCAGGAUCAUUAUGAGUGAGGCUGCUGAAUUGCCAUCUCUCCUGCAGAGACUAGAAGAUGUCCACAAAAAUCUGGGCAUUGGUGACACUGAGGGGAUGAAGUUGCUGAUAGUUGGAGGAUUUUCCAUGAGAGGGCUGUACCAGUGGAGUCUGGGCCUGCUCUUGCUGCUCAGCAGCACAGCCUCAGUGUCAAUGUCCCAAGAGUGUUUAUGCCUUCAGCGGCUUUUCCUGUUAGCCCGAGUCUUGCAUGCCUCUUCUGUCUCUCCCAGAGAAGGGAUGCUGAAGUGACAAUAGUUGGCUGGCUCAGCUGGAAGUUUACAAUAUUUAAAUUACAGUUCCAGGUCUGAGUUCCACACUCACAUCAGUGAGGUGAGAUCAGCUAGCAAAGGAAGAGAUAAUUAAAGGGCCAUUACAGCAAGCUGGUCCCAGGAGAGUCAGGAUGGUCCAGGUGAAGCUGCUGCAGGCAGGCACCCAAGUCACAUCCUCAGCUGCCUUGCUGAACUCAGGGAUUGGGAAGUGUGUUCUUAGGGGGUGGAUUGAACUGAAAUGUGGAUGGUACAGCUGUGCUCAUUCAAAAAGGAAUUCAAAAAGCUCUAAAAAAGCAAUUAAACCUUUCUGAGGCCUGCCAAGACAGUGCUGAGAUCUUUUAUUUUGACUGGAAACAUGUAAAUCACCUGAAUACCUUACUCAGACUUACUUCACUUUCAGAAGCGUUUAUAGAGAGCCCACUGUCACUGUCUUCAUACAAUCCCAGAUGGCAUGAUACAAAUUUCACUCUUUUCUAGGAUCUCUUUUGUACAUCCUGCUUUUCAUCUUGUCUUUUCUUCCCCUUUGGCACUGGUGAUGAAUAUGUUUCACUUUCCCAUGGCUUCUCCUCAGUGCUGCACCGAGUUGUUUGCCAGCUACGCCAGCCCUCUGUGCUGUUUGGAAUCCCCCCUCCUUGUCCAGGUCAGCCUGAAUCUUCUCUUUUUGCUUGCUUAAAGCAUAAGAGGAGCAAAAAAUUCCCACCCAGUAGAACGCUGGAAGAGCUUGCACGUGGUAGUGGUAACAUUUUCACAUGGUCCUGAGUCUGGACUUCCAUAGACUACAAACUGAUGGAUUAAUUGCAGACAGAAGUCUGAAGACUGAAGAAUUGCAUUCUUCAGCUGCUGGAGGUCCAUGAGUAGUGCUAAGAAAAAGGCCCCCACAUCGGUGCCAGUUUGCAGUUUCCCACUCCAUCACCUAAUAAAGAGCCAAACAGACCAAGUGCAAACGCUCCUUUGUGGCCACAUGUCACAGCAGGGCAGGACAUUGCAGUGGUGUACAUGUUUCUUGUGUAAAAGCCAUUCACCCACUGGAAGACUUUGAGCAAACACCAACAAAACACUUUGCAAAUCAAAGGGAGGGUCAGGUGCCAGGAUAACACAGGAUUGCUCCUGCUGCAGGGACAGACAGAGGAGCUGCUCUGUGCCAUGGCCAUGGCACCGCUUCUGCCUUCACUGUGGGCAGGUGAGGAGCUGCAGAGGGCCUGGAUCAGCCAGAGCCCAGCCCUGAUUAACAGCUGAAGGGGCUCUUGAAAGACCCCACUUUAGGGGCCUGUAGUUUCCUUUCCUCUAGAAGUGUAAAGAUUGUAACAGCAUAAUAUAAAAAUAUACAAUUCUAUUGUUUACUGGGCCUGUUCACCAGCAAUAGCUGGUGAGGUUGAAGAGAUGAGGGUUAGAGGUGGCAGUGGGGUGCUGCCAGCAAACCUGCAGGCAGUAUGUAGGUGUUUCCUGCCCAGGCAAUCCCUCCCAGUGCCCAUGGGGACUCUUGCCUGUUUUGGCCAAAAUUCGAUGAGAUUCUUUCUUCCACUUCUUCCAUCUCACUGUUCUUAAGUUUUUGAAGUGUUUUAAAACAUUAGUGUUAAAAUAAUUUCUGUUGAACUGAGUAUAACCAAAUAACUUGGAUGUGAUUUGGGCUGAUUUAUAAUUAGCAGUUCUAAGCAGGAGUCUAAUUUAACUGUGUCAUCCUUUCUGCUGUAACUCCCUUGCUCUUUGGUGCUGUUUUCCACCAGCCUAAGAGCACAGGAGGGAAUGCCCUGCUGGGUCUCAACUAACAGGUCAGCCCAACCUGCUUUGAAUCACACAUUUAGGAAAUUGAGUAGAAAUACCAGGUGUGCAAAGUAGAUCUGAUAUGAAGGAUUAUUUGUUUUGCUGUAGUAUUUCAUGGUAAGAUUAUCUCAGGGAAGAGAAAGUGACUGUUCCAGGCCAAAAAAGAGAACGGCUUUGUGUUCCCAGUCCAUUUAAACCAUCAGACUUCCCAACUGACCUGUCUAAUCUUUUCUACAGAUAAUUUUUUUGCAGCACCUGAGGGUAAGUCCUGUUAUCAGCAAUUUUUACAUACCAUCAUGGAUAGGUCUGGCUUGCUGCAGUGACCAGCUCCUGUCCCUAGUUUUCAUGGAGGGUUCUUACAGAAAAGUCCCGAUCAGGGCAUGCACUUAAAAAUCACCAUUUUAGGCACUUUACCAUUAUCUUCCAUUUCAGAAGCAGAUGUCCAGAGAUAGGAGUCCAACCAAAUAAAUCCCUGGGAACAUUGGCUUUGAAUGUGAAAUUUCUAAAAGCAAGCUUUACCUUGUGCAUGUGUUACAUCUUCCAAAUUAAUGAAAUUAAACCCCCAGUUCUGUUUUCUGGUGGCAGCGGGGGAUCAGACAAGGCAGUUGAAGAGAAUGGGAAACACAGGCUUGGAGGAAAGCAGACAAACAAGUACCUGACAAUUGCAGCAGUGAUAAAUAUGGCAGAUGGGUAGGAAAGAGCCAUAAAACAGGAGGAGAGGGGAUAAGAGAGAGAGAGAGACAUUCCUCUCCUGAGUGCAAAGAGUCUUCAGUGUGUUACUAUUUCUAACAUAGGAUAGGGGAUGGGGAGGACAAAUCCUCCUGUGUCAAGAAAAAGGGCUAAGUAAAUGCAGCAUGUCUUCUUCACAAAAUGGAUAUAUUAUGAAGACUAAGAAGUUAAAAUGCCUGGUAUGCUUGAAGGGCAGGGUAGUUCUAGAGAAUAGAAGAGUUUUCUUUCCUACUUGUUUUCCCAUGCAGCCCAGGGUUAUUUAGCUAAGCUUUUAAUACACAAGUGGGAAUUUUGCUGAAUGAUUCUCCAGCACAACUUUUAUGCAAUUUUUUUCCUCUUGUCUCUUUUUCUCCCCCUUUUUGUUUUCUUUUGUUUGAACUACCCAUAGGCAGUGGUUCAAUAGCAGACUUUUAAAGAAUGGGUUGUUGGUGUGGGUUGGGGUUGAUCUGGUCAAGGAUGUGGGUUUUUAAAUUUUUUUCCUGGCCUGGUUACUGGGCCAGAGGACAGAGCAGCAGUAACAUCAUGAAGCAGUAGCUGAUUCCAGGGCCAUCUUUUGGGUGGCAUUAGGACAUCUGCCUUUUUUUUUCCAUGAAAACAUGUAAUGCAAGUUAAGCAAAAUCUGAAUGCAGUCUUUUUUUUUUUUGUUUUGUCCAAAACCUGAGGUAAUUGGGAAAAUAACAGAGACUGUCAGGCAUUUAAACCCUUCAGCUUUCUCAGCAUGGAGUGUGACAAGGCCAAACUGAAAGCUAACUUCUCUUCCCUAAGAUCAGAAAGACAACAAAUGGCCAAACAAAUGGUCAAGCUGAAACCUGCUGCUGAAACUCAGCUACCAGAUGUUGCUAGAAUCAACAUCAAUAUGCAAGAAAGCACAUUUGCAAGUCCUGGCAGUGCUGAGAGUCACAAAGAUCCCCUUCUUGGCACAGAGUGACCUCCCAAACAUGCCAGGUGCUUCUUGUCCUACCAGACUUGCAGACCUCCAGGGGAACUCCAAGGACACUCAGGGAGUACAAAGGCCAUUCUUGCCUCAAAAUAUUUCAAAAAAGCAUGAAAGAUGGGAAAACAUGCUAUGGAUCGAGAUGAAAUUGUCUUGGGGUUGUACAGCUGGCCAGUGUUCAUCCUGAAGAUACAUCACAGAACCAUGAUUAACUACAGUUGCUACUGGAAUCAGCAAACCAAAAAGAAAGCUUUUUGUGGUAGAUCAAGCAUAUGAGAACAGAACUUGCAACACUGUAUGUUUCUUCCAUGGAUACAGGAAACAUAUAGUAACUUGUAAAGUUGAGGAGAAUAAAAUGUGGAAUAUUA